rnacentral:rRNA from 1 species
UACGUAGGGGGCGAGCGUUGUCCGGAAUCAUUGGGCGUAAAGCGCGUGUAGGCGGCCCGGUAAGUCCGCUGUGAAAGUCCAGGGCUCAACCCUGGGAUGCCGGUGGAUACUGUUGGGCUCGAGUCCGGAAGAGGCGAGUGGAAUUCCUGGUGUAGCGGUGAAAUGCGCAGAUAUCAGGAGGAACACCAAUGGCGAAGGCAGCUCGCUGGGACGUGACUGACGCUGAGACGCGAAAGCGUGGGGAGCAAACAGG